CUAAAAGUGAAGUUCUUUGCGGCAAAGGCCCUGUAGAUCAGGACACACCUCAGCGGCUCAUAUGAAAUAGUGAGACUUAGGGAAUUGACUUCAGCAGAUAUGAGCAUAUUAAGAAACUGACUACUGGGAUUGCUUAAGUUUGGGUUGGGAGGUGACCUAAAGGGGAGAAACUGAGAACCAAGGAGUGAGCCGUGAGGGAGGAAGAGUAAAAAAUGGUGGCACCUUCAGUGUGAGCUGCGAGUUAGGUGUGAUUUGUACAGUCUGCAGUGUGUGUGUGAACUGGUCGGCAGUUUGGUUGCAGGUUUCUGCUGAGCAGGAACGUGUGGUGUCUUGAUUGACUUGAUAGCUGCUACUGAUACUGUUAUGGACUCCACUGCACUGCUGUCUGUGGUAGGCGGGGCUCUCUUCCUGUCAAUCAUCCUUUUAGCCAGUCUUUGUACAUACUGCUGGGGGCAUAAACAACCAACAUCCAUCCAUCAGAGGUCCAGUGACUCAGAAUACAACCCAACUUUUGUGGUUCGGCAUCCCGUGUCAACAUAUGAGCACCAUACGGAUCAUACCAGAAUUGGACCUUACCAACCCAAUUCACUCAGUUCACCAUCUAUUACUGUCACAAAGGUGCCCUCCUGUCCUCCCUCAGAAACUGGAAGUCAAGCCAGUUAUGUGAAUCAAAACGAGAGUGACGAUGAGCCGUAUGUUCAGCCUCCAAGUGAAUACAUAGUUGUUCUUCCAGAUUCCCCAAACACGAUAUCUCAGAGACCCAGCAGAGCUUCAUCCCAGAGCUCAGGAGAACCUUACAUAAAUGUAGACCAUGUGUCUGAAGCUAUAUUUGACUGUGAGAUGUAUGUGGAUGAAUCAGACUCAGACAUUCCCGAUUAUGAAAAUUGCAAAAAUUCUCAAGAUCACAGGGAACAAACCUAUAGUCUGUCCCGUGGAAGUCAAAGCAGUGAUGAACGGGACAGCUCUGAUUAUGUCAACACAGACCCUAAUUUACAAUAACCAAGGAUUUGCCUUUUACCAAAUAAUGACAGUUAACAAGGUCAGACCUAAGAACCAUCCUGACUGCCAGAGGAGUUUUCAGAUUUACCUGUGCUUUGAAUUUUGAAGUGCAUCACCAAGAAAGCUUUGAACCAUCAUCACCUCCGAAAACUUCCUCCCUCAGUCCUUAUGACAAAUUUGCUGACGAAACCUGAGAAUGUUUUUUUUUAUUUUUUAUUAACAUUUGCUGUUUACAGUGUACUGCAUCCAGGCUUUUACUUUCAAAUAUAUGAACUUCUUUUUUUUGACUCUGCCAUGUAAUAUAUAGCUUUUUGUCAUUAAAAUGAAUAAACAUGUUAGCUAUUGGUUUGUAAAUGGC
rnacentral:lncRNA from 1 species